rnacentral:rRNA from 1 species
CCUAGGGUGGCAGCAGUGGGGAAUAUUGGACAAUGGGCGAAAGCCUGAUCCAGCCAUGCCGCGUGUGUGAAGAAGGCCUUCGGGUUGUAAAGCACUUUCAGUGGGGAAGAAAGCCUUGGGGCUAAUACCCUCGAGGAAGGACAUCACCCACAGAAGAAGCACCGGCUAACUCCGUGCCAGCAGCCGCGGUAAUACGGAGGGUGCGAGCGUUAAUCGGAAUUACUGGGCGUAAAGCGCGCGUAGGCGGUCUGAUAAGCCGGUUGUGAAAGCCCCGGGCUCAACCUGGGAACGGCAUCCGGAACUGUCAGGCUAGAGUGCAGGAGAGGAAGGUAGAAUUCCCGGUGUAGCGGUGAAAUGCGUAGAGAUCGGGAGGAAUACCAGUGGCGAAGGCGGCCUUCUGGACUGACACUGACGCUGAGGUGCGAAAGCGUGGGUAGCAAACAGGAUUAGAUACCCCUGUAGUC